UCGAGGCGUCGUUAUCUACUCAGAUUGAAGUUUCAGAAAUUUCGAAACCAUUAUCAUAAUUUCAUUUUUCCCGAUUCGUUCCUUACACAUGGAUCCAUGAUUUGGGUUGCCGAAAUUUUAUUUUUUCGCUGCACCCUGGGAGCACCGACAUUCCAGCAGUCUAUCAAAUCUUGGCGUACCUUCCUUCCAAUGCUUCCCUGUUGCAGGACUUGCCUCCUCAACGCUUGGAUCUCGAACUCAUCUAGGAUCUCGAACUCAUCUAUCAAAUCUUCCAUUUCAUAGCAAGCAUCUUUGAACUUUUGUAGCCUGUAAAGCCCAAAAUCUGCCCGGGCCCAUACCAGCAAACCCCCCCACUUGCCCACUUGCGCCGUUGCCCCAUGUGCGCAACCACUCAACCUCGCACGCCUCUGCUCCGCGCCAGCCUCCACGCAUGCCCAUCACCGUCUGCAGCCCAUGCCUCUGUCACCUCCAUCGUGCCCAUCCCAUGCAAAGAGACAAAACAGAAACAAUAGGAAAUUAGAUGAAAAUGAGUUAUAAAAACCCGAAUCAAAAAUUGUACGGGGGGCUUUUUUUUUUCUUUCUUCUUCUUUUCUACUUUGUAAACACUAAAGAGAAAUUUACAGUCUUCAAUAAACAGAUAGCAGUGAUUGUUAAAAACAAAAAGAAAAAACAAAAGGUUGUAUUUUUUUCUUUGUUCCUUUCGAUUUUUAUAUACAUAUACAUAUAUUUCUUUAUUUUCUAUCUAUUUAACAUAAAAAUAUACAACAAAUAAAAAAAAACAAAAAAUAAAUUUUUUACCUUUUCCGGCCACCGCAUGCGGUGGCCGCCGCCGGCGCCGGCGAGCCUCCGGUGGCCGUCCGGUGACCCCCCCUGGCCGGAUUUUCCUUCCCCCCUCCCUUCUCUCUUCCUUCUCUCUUCCCUCUCUCUUCUUUUUUUUCUUUCCCUCUCCCCA
rnacentral:lncRNA from 1 species